GGCGACUGAUUCUCUCCAACAAGAUGGCCCGAACCAUUGGCUUCUUCUACACACUAUUCCUGCAUUGCCUGGUCUUCUUGGUGCUGUACAAGACGGCAUGGAGCGAGAGCAUAGAGAGAGACUGUGCAGCCUACUGUGCUAAGAAAUAUGCCGACCACUUGCACAAGUUCCAUGAGAACGGAGACAAUGGGGACAUGUGGCAAUAACGGGAGGGACCUCCCGGCCCCCAGUCCAAGUCGCUGGACAGCUUCUCCACUCCCUGCCCCUUGGCUUGCAUGUGCAGUUUCGCCCCUGCAUGUCCUUCCUGGCUUAG